GACGAACGCUGGCGGCGUGCUUAACACAUGCAAGUCGAACGGAAAGGCCCUGCUUUUGUGGGGUGCUCGAGUGGCGAACGGGUGAGUAACACGUGAGUAACCUGCCCUUGACUUUGGGAUAACUUCAGGAAACUGGGGCUAAUACCGGAUAGGAGCUCCUGCUGCAUGGUGGGGGUUGGAAAGUUUCGGCGGUUGGGGAUGGACUCGCGGCUUAUCAGCUUGUUGGUGGGGUAGUGGCUUACCAAGGCUUUGACGGGUAGCCGGCCUGAGAGGGUGACCGGCCACAUUGGGACUGAGAUACGGCCCAGACUCCUACGGGAGGCAGCAGUGGGGAAUAUUGCACAAUGGGCGGAAGCCUGAUGGAGCAACGCCGCGUGCGGGAUGACGGCCUUCGGGUUGUAAACCGCUUUCGCCUGCGACGAAGCGUGAGUGACGGUAAUGGGUAAAGAAGCACCGGCUAACUACGUG
rnacentral:rRNA from 1 species